UACAGAGGUCUCAGGCGUUGUUCGGAAUUACUGGGCGUAAAGGGUGCGCAGGCCGCGCGGGCAGUCAAUUGUGUAAUUCAGGGGCUCAACCCCUGGACUGCGCUUGAUACUUCCGUGCUAGAGCUUUGGAGAGGAGUCUGGAAUUCUCGGUGUAGCAGUGAAAUGCGUGGAUAUCGAGAAGAACACUUAGGGCGAAGGCAAGACUCUGGACAAAUGCUGACGCUCAUGCACGAAGGCUAGGGUAGCGAACGGG
rnacentral:rRNA from 1 species